rnacentral:lncRNA from 1 species
AAUUUAAGAAUCAUUGUUAGUUUUAAAUUCAUUUUCUAAAUACAAAAGUUCUGAUGAUUAUUUUGUAAACCAAAAAAACAAAUCAGAAAGAACCAAAUGAAAAAAAGGGUAUAAUUUGGAACUUGCAAACCCUGCAGCUCCCAUUAAAUCACCUAACUAGAAACAGCCCCUUCGUAUUGACUGCCCAAUACCCCAUAAUCAGUUGAUCCCCUUUUCACAAAACGCUCCACCCACCUUCAGCCCUGACUCUUUUUCAAAAUCUCCUCUAAAAAGACCACGAUUCACCCCCUCUAAUCAAAAGUUCCCUUCCUUUACUUGCCAACUAAACUUCUUUGCUGGCCCAUCUCUCAACCCGAUUCCACCCGAUUCUACCCAUCA